rnacentral:tRNA from 1 species
UUAAGUUUUAAGAUUAUUAAACUAAAAACCUUCAAAGUUUUAAUAAUAGGUAAACUCCUAUAAACUUAAU